UAAGAAAAUUUUUCAACGAAGAGUUCAGGG
rnacentral:piRNA from 1 species